ensembl:rRNA 5S_rRNA 5S ribosomal RNA
GCUUACGGCCAUACCAGCCCAAGAACGCCCGGUCUCGUUUGAUCUCGGAAGCUAAGAAGGCUUGGGCCUGAUUAUACUUGGAUGGGAGACCUCCUGGGAAUACCAGGUGCUGUAAGCU